CUUCACCGACCCGAGCAGCAGCGGCCGAUCGGCCGGGCGGUCCUGGCCGUACACGGCCAGCAGUGCCUGCGCUUC
rnacentral:antisense_RNA from 1 species